UACGUAGGGGGCAAGCGUUGUCCGGAUUUACUGGGCGUAAAGAGCGCGCAGGCGGUCGGAUCAGUCGAAUGUGAAAGCCCCCGGCUCAACCUGGGGAGGGUCAUUCGAUACUGUCCGACUCGAAGGCAGGAGAGGGAAGCGGAAUUCCCGGUGUAGUGGUGAAAGUGCGUAGAUAUCAGGAGGAACGAACCGGUGGCGAAGGGCGGUG
rnacentral:rRNA from 1 species